GGCGUCAUGGGCAACAAUGUGGCCUUGGGCUUCAUGUAGCUGUGUCUCCAUUCCCUGGAACUCUCACGACUGUAAGGAAGGAGGAUGUCCAUCUGCUGCGUCCACCAGAUACACACUUGUGAGCCAGCACAGACCACUCCUUGCUCUGGGAUUCAAUUUUGUGAGCUCAACUCUGGCCACUGGAAAUCUGUCCAGAGGACAUGACCUGAAGGGAGAGAGGAUUCAGAACUCUGUCUGAGGGGUUGCAGUUGAGGAAACUGAAACUGCCUGACAACAGAAAGAGCUAUUGGGAUGUAGUAAGCUCACUGUCACCAGAGGCUACUCAACAUAAAGACGAUGAGGAUGAAGACCUUCAUGAUGAUCCACUUCCAUUUAAAAACAGCCAAUUUUUAUUUUCUCUAUGAUUUUCUUAAAAUUUUUUCUCUAGCUUACUUUAUUGUAAGAAUACAGUAUAUAACACGUGUAACAGACAAAUAUGUGUUAAUCGGUCAUUUAUGUUAUUGGUAAGGCUUCAGGUCAACAGUAGGCAAUCAAUAGUUAAGUUUGGGGGACACAAAAGUUAUACUUGAAUUCUCAGCUGAAAGGGGGGUCAACACCACUAAACCCACAUUGUUCAAGGGACAACUACAUAUGUAAAGCACUUAGUGCAAUGCCUGGCACAAAAUAAGUGCUCAGUAUGAAGUAUGAUUAAUUCUUUCAUCAGUUAAUUGAGGUCAUGUGUUAGUUUGCUCCCUGAUUUCGCUGUUCAUUUCCAGCACACUUGCAGAGGAUCUAGCAGGUGCUGGGUCUCCACAUUCUGCCCAACUUCCCUUUAAUUUCAAUUGCCUCUUAUUGUCUCCACCCCAUCUCUCCCAUGGUGCCUUCCCAGUUUCUUGGACAUGGCCCAGGUCCUCCUGUCUUUGAGAGUUUGUUCACCCUGGUCUCUCCUCUUGAAAUGUUCUCCUUCCCCAUCUCCCUAUUGUUGCUGCCAAUACAGCUCCAGGGUCCUCUCCUCCCUGAAGCCCCCUCUCGUUCUCUCCUAGCUCUCAGCUUCCUCCACUUGGGAGUCCCCUAAUCUGUGUGCAUUCUGUCCCAUGGGCUCUUCCUGAAGGAGGGACCCAGCUCCUCCCAGCCCCUUGCGUACACACCCCCAGCACAGACCUAUGAGUGCUCAGGGAGGGGUGAAAGGAAAGGAAAAGGCUGUGCAUAGUGAAACGUGGUCUAGGUUGGACUACAGAACGCGGAGUAGAGCAUGCAAUAUGGGAAAUGACAUGGAUCGACACCACAGUCCAGGAAAGGCGUGAGGACUUAGGGGGUGACAUGGGAAAGGAGCAUUUUCCUGUUCUGUAAUUGGCCAUGCGGGAGCCCCAGGGUCAGCCCACAGGGCAGGGAAGCCUGACGCAGGCACAUCUGGGUCUGUAAUCCUACCUCCUCUCUCCCCCACCUGCCCAGCCCCUUCACCCAUGGCC
rnacentral:lncRNA from 10 species